rnacentral:rRNA from 1 species
AGGGCGUAUGGUGGAUGCCUUGGCAGACAGUACCGAUGAAGGACGUUUGAGGCUGCGAUAUGCCUCGGGGAGCCGCCAGCAGGGCUUUGAUCCGAGGAUUUCCGAAUGGGGGAACCCGCCGGCCGUCAUGGGCCGGCACCGCGUUCGCGCGGGGGGUACGCAGGGAAGUGAAACAUCUCAGUACCUGCAGGAAAGGAUGUUCCGUGAGUAGUGGCGAGCGAAAGCGGAUCAGGCCAAACCGCGCGCGUGUGACAGGCGCCAGCCGUUGCGCGCGUGGUGUUGAGGGAGCGUGUGUCCGGGUCCUGGCGGGCCCGGCCGGAGUGAUAAAACGGCGUGUGAGGCGAACCGGAUUGAAUGCCGGGCCGCAGAGGGUGAUGGCCCCGUAGCCGAACGCGCGUCGUCUCCGGAUCGUGUUUCCCAAGUAGCGCGGGACUCGUGGAAUCCCGUGUGAAUCCGCCCCGACCGUGGGGUAAGCCUAGAUAUACCUGUCUGACCGAUAGCGAACUAGUACCGUGAGGGAAAGGUGAAAAGCACCCCGGGAGGGGAGUGAAACAGUCUCUGAAACCGUGCGCUUACAAACCGUCGGAGCCUUUCGGGGUGACGGCGUGCCUAUCGAAAAAUGAGUCUGCGAGUCAGUGGCACGUGGCGAGCGUAACCCGUGUGGGGUACGCGUAGCGAAGGCGAGUCUCAAAAGGCGUUUGAGUCGCGUGUCCUGGACCCGAAGCGGGAUGAUCUAGCCCUGAGCAGGUUGAAGCGCGGGUAAGACCGCGUGGAGGACCGAACCCACCUGGGUUGAAAACCGGGGGGAUGACUUGGGGUUAGGGGUGAAAGGCCAAUCAAAUUCCGUGAUAGCUGGUUCUCUCCGAAAUGCAUUUAGGUGCAGCGUCGGGGAUUACGUCCGGGGGGUAGAGCUACUGGAUGCUUGAGGGCCCGUAUCGGGUACCGACAGCAGCCAAACUCCGAAUACCCGUGACGCGUAUCCCGGCAGUGAGUCGGCGGGGGAUAAGCUCCGUCGUCGAAAGGGAGACAGCCCAGAUCGUCGUCUAAGGUCCCCAAGCGCGUGCUAAGUGGGAAAGGAUGUGGAGUCGCAUAGACAGCCAGGAGGUUGGCUCAGAAGCAGCCACCCUUGAAAGAGUGCGUAACAGCUCACUGGUCUAGUGGUUCCGCGCCGACAAUGUAGCGGGGCUCAAGCACGCCACCGAAGACGCGGCAGCGUCCGUUUGGAUGCUGGGUAGGAGAGCGUCCCCAUCGGGGCGAAGCGGCGGCGCAAGCCUGCCGUGGACCGUUGGGGAGUGAGAAUGCAGACAUGAGUAGCGAGAGGCGGGUGCGAAUCCCGCCCGCUGGAUGACCAAGGGUUCCGGGGCCACGUUCGUCGUCCCCGGGUGAGUCGGGUCCUAAGGCGAGGCCGACAGGCGUAGUCGAAUGGAUGAACGGGCUGAUAUUCCCGUACCGGCAGCGAACCGAAACAACCGAGGCCUGGGGCGCUAACCUCCGGGUCCGUGCCGUCUCCCCUUUCGGGGGGUCGCGGCGCGGGCGCGUUGGGAUCCCCCCUCGUAGUAGGUCAGCGCAGGAGUGACGCAUCAGGGCAGCCGGCCGCGGAGGUGGUUUUCCGUGGUCAAGCGUUCGAGCCCGUCCCGCAGGCAAAUCCGCGGGGCGUCGGGGCGAGGCGUGAUGAUGGGGGCCUUACGGCCCGAAUCCGGUGAUCCGUGGUGCCGAGAAAAGCUUCGGCGUCAGGCGCGUUGCCGCCCGUACCCCAAACCGACACUGGUGGUCAGGUAGAGAAUACCAAAGCGAUCGAGCGAAUCCUGGUCAAGGAACUCGGCAAAUUGCUCCCGUGCCUUCGGCAUAAGGGAGACCCCCUGCGGUGAUGAGCGGCGGGGGGUGGCACAGGCCAGGGGGUAGCGACUGUUUACCAAAAACACAGGAGCGUGCGAAGGCGCAAGCCGCUGUAUACGCUCUGACGCCUGCCCGGUGCCGGAAGGUUAAGAGGAUCCGUCAGCUUCUGCGAAGCGGUGAAUUCAAGCCCCGGUAAACGGCGGUGGUAACUAUAACCAUCCUAAGGUAGCGAAAUUCCUUGUCGGGUAAGUUCCGACCUGCACGAAUGGCGUAACGACUUCCCCACUGUCUCGACCAGGAGCUCGGCGAAAUUGCAGUACGAGUAAAGAUGCUCGUUAAGCGCAGAAGGACGAAAAGACCCCGGGACCUUUACUAUACCUUGGUAUUGGCAUUAGGCGCGGAUUGUGUAGCAUAGGCGGGAGGCUUCGAGGCGGGUGCGCCAGCAUCCGCGGAGCCGCAAGGUGAAAUACCGCUCUGUUCUCGUUUGAUGUCUAACCUCGAACAGUCAUCCUGUUCAGGGACAGUGCCUGGCGGGUAGUUCAACUGGGGCGGUUGCCUCCCAAAGAGUAACGGAGGCGCUCAAAGGUCCGCUCGGCCCGGUUGGCAAUCGGGUGUCGAGUGUAAUCGCACAAGCGGGCUUGACUGCGAGAUCGACGGAUCGAGCAGGGACGAAAGUCGGAGAUAGUGAUCCGGUGCCGGCGCACGGGCGCGGCAUCGCUCAACGGAUAAAAGGUACCCCGGGGAUAACAGGCUGAUCAUUCCCAAGAGUCCAUAUCGACGGGAUGGUUUGGCACCUCGAUGUCGGCUCGUCGCAUCCUGGGGCU